rnacentral:rRNA from 1 species
GACGAACGCUGGCGGCGUGCUUAACACAUGCAAGUCGAACGGAAAGGCCCUGCUUUUGUGGGGUGCUCGAGUGGCGAACGGGUGAGUAACACGUGAGUAACCUGCCCUUGACUUUGGGAUAACUUCAGGAAACUGGGGCUAAUACCGGAUAGGAGCUCCUGCUGCCUGGUGGGGGUUGGAAAGUUUCGGCGGUUGGGGAUGGACUCGCGGCUUAGCAGCUUGUUGGUGGGGUAGUGGCUUACCAAGGCUUUGACGGGUAGCCGGCCUGAGAGGGUGACCGGCCACAUUGGGACUGAGAUACGGCCCAGACUCCUACGGGAGGCAGCAGUGGGGAAUAUUGCACAAUGGGCGGAAGCCUGAUGCAGCAACGCCGCGUGCGGGAUGACGGCCUUCGGGUUGUAAACCGCUUUCGCCUGUGACGAAGCGUGAGUGACGGUAAUGGGUAAAGAAGCACCGGCUAACUACGUG